UAGAAAUCAGAGCCCUACUGUUGAGGACCCUCUGCCUGCUUUAGGCCAGAUGCAGGAUAGCAGAAUAGUACAUCGUUACCAGACUGGACUGUACCAUAUGUGUCCAGCGCAGUGACGAAGCUGUGAAGUUCUGCCAGGAUUGCAAGGCUACUUUCUGUGAGAACCAUGUUAGAGACCACUACCAGGUCCCAGGACUGAUGCAACACACAUUGGUGGAGGCCACUGAAGGAAGGAAAAACCAUUCCAAAUGUAGAUGAUCACGUCCAUCAAACUUAUGUUGAAACAGAACAAACUGUGACUCAGGUCUGCUCAUGGAAAACAGCCUUCUUCGUCAGUCUUCUGGGGAUUCUCAUACUG